UACAGAGGGUGCAAGCGUUGUUCGGAAUUAUUGGGCGUAAAGCGCGUGUAGGCGGCUGGGCAAGUCGGGUGUGAAAGCCCUCAGCUCAACUGAGGAAGUGCGCCCGAAACUGCUUUGCUCGAGUACCGGAGAGGAUGGCGGAAUGCCCCAAGUAGAGGUGAAAUUCGUAGAUAUGGGGCGGAACACCGGUGGCGAAGGCGGCCAUCUGGACGGAUACUGACGCUGAGACGCGAAAGCAUGGGGAGCAAACAGG
rnacentral:misc_RNA from 1 species